rnacentral:rRNA from 1 species
GUUAGUGGAGACGGGUGAGUAUGCGUAGGAAUCUACCUAGUAGUACGGAAUAGCCAUUAGAAAUGGUGGGUAAUACUGUAUAAUCCCCGAGGGGGAAAGAUUUAUCGCUAUUAGAUGAGCCUACGUUAGAUUAGCUAGUUGGUGAGGUAAUGGCUUACCAAGGCUAUGAUCUAUAGCUGGUCUGAGAGGACGAUCAGCCACACUGGAACUGAGAUACGGUCCAGACUCCUACGGGAGGCAGCAGUGGGGAAUAUUGGACAAUGGGCGAAAGCCUGAUCCAGCUAUGCCGCGUGAGUGAAGAAGGCCUUCGGGUUGUAAAACUCUUUCAAUAGGGAAGAUAAUGAGGGUACCUAUAA